GAUAAACGCUGGCGGCGCACAUAAGACAUGCAAGUUGAACGGACUUAAUCGAAAUAUUUAUAUUUUGAAGCGGUUAGUGGCGGACUGGUGAGUAACGCGUAAGGAACCUGCCUAUUAGAGGGGAAUAACAGUGAGAAAUCAUUGCUAAUACCGCAUAUGCCAUAGAUAUCACAUGAUAACAGUGGGAAAGGAGCAAUCCGCUAAUAGAUGGCCUUGCGUCUGAUUAGAUAGUUGGUGGGGUAACGGCCUACCAAGUCGACGAUCAGUAGCCGGACUGAGAGGUUGAACGGCCACAUUGGGACUGAGAUACGGCCCAGACUCCUACGGGAGGCAGCAGUCGGGAAUAUUGCGCAAUGGAGGAAACUUUGACGCAGUGACGCCGCGUAUAGGAAGAAGGUUUUCGGAUUGUAAACUAUUGUCGUUAGGGAAGAGAAAGGACAGUACCUAAGGAGGAAGCUCCGGCUAACUACGUG
rnacentral:rRNA from 1 species